GACGAACGCUGGCGGCGUGCUUAACACAUGCAAGUCGAACGAAGUGGCGAACGGGUGAGUAACGCGUAAUCAACCUGCCCUUCAGGGGGGGACAACAGUUGGAAACGACUGCUAAUACCGCAUAAUGAAGGAGGGGAUUGCGGCUGAUUAGCUAGUUGGGGGGGUAACGGCCCACCAAGGCGAUGAUCAGUAGCCGGUCUGGGAGGAUGGACGGCCACAAUGGGAAUGGGGAACGGGCCAGACUCCUACGGGAGGCAGCCGUGGGGAAUCUUCCGAAAUGGACGAAAGGCUGGCGGAGCAAAGCCGCGUGAGUGAUGACGGGCUUCGGGUUGUAAAGCUCUGUUAAGCGGGACGCGGUACCGGAAGAGAAAGCCACGGCUAACUACGUGCCAGCAGCCGCGGUAAUAC
rnacentral:rRNA from 1 species